UACGUAGGUGGCAAGCGUUGUCCGGAUUUACUGGGCGUAAGAGCGCGCAGGCGGUCGUUCAAGUCGCGUGUGAAAGCCCCCGGCUCAACUGGGGAGGGUCACGCGAUACUGAUCGACUCGAAGGCAGGAGAGGGAAGUGGAAUUCCCGGUGUAGUGGUGAAAUGCGUAGAUAUCGGGAGGAACACCAGUGGCGAAGGCGACUUCCUGGCCUGUUCUGACGCUGAGGCGCGAAAGCUAGGGGAGCAA
rnacentral:rRNA from 1 species